UACGUAGGUGGCAAGCGUUGUCCGGAUUUACUGGGCGUAAAGAGCGCGCAGGCGGUCGUUCAAGUCGCGUGUGAAAUCCCUCGGCUCAACUGAGGAAUUGCCUUUGAAACUGCUUGGCUUGAGGCCGGGAGGGGGUAGCGGAAUUCCCAGUGUAGCGGUGAAAUGCGUAGAUACUGGGAGGAACACCAGUGGCGAAGGCGGCUACCUGGACCGGUUCUGACGCUGAUGCGCGAAAGCGUGGGGAGCAAACAGG
rnacentral:rRNA from 1 species